rnacentral:rRNA from 1 species
UAACGUUACCAAACUGUUGCCUCGGCGGGAUCUUCUGCCCCGGGUGCGUCGCAGCCCCGGACCAAGGCGCCCGCCGGAGGAAUCAACCAAAACUCUUAUUGUAUACCCCCUCGCGGGUUUUUUUUAUAAUCUGAGCCUUCUCGGCGCCUCUCGUAGGCGUUUCGAAAAUGAAUCAAAACUUUCAACAACGGAUCUCUUGGUUCUGGCAUCGAUGAAGAACGCAGCGAAAUGCGAUAAGUAAUGUGAAUUGCAGAAUUCAGUGAAUCAUCGAAUCUUUGAACGCACAUUGCGCCCGCCAGUAUUCUGGCGGGCAUGCCUGUCCGAGCGUCAUUUCAACCCUCGAACCCCUCCGGGGGGUCGGCGUUGGGGAUCGGCCUUCCUUCACGGGGGCCGUCUCCGAAAUACAGUGGCGGUCUCGCCGCAGCCUCUCCUGCGCAGUAGUUUGCACACUCGCAUCGGGAGCGCGGCGCGUCCACAGCCGUUAAACACCCAACUUUCUGAAAUGUUGACCUCGGAUCAGGUAGGANNNNNNGCUGAACUU